UACGGAGGGUGCAAGCGUUAAUCGGAAUUACUGGGCGUAAAGCGUGCGCAGGCGGUUUGUUAAGUCUGCUGUGAAAUCCCCGAGCUCAACUUGGGAAUUGCAGUGGAUACUGGCAAGCUGGAGUACGGUAGAGGAAGGUGGAAUUCCCGGUGUAGCAGUGAAAUGCGUAGAGAUCGGGAGGAACACCAGUGGCGAAGGCGGCCCUCUGGACCAGUACUGACGCUCAUGCACGAAAGCGUGGGGAGCAAACAGG
rnacentral:rRNA from 1 species